rnacentral:rRNA from 1 species
ACUCCUACGGGAGGCAGCAGUGGGGAAUAUUGCACAAUGGGGGAAACCCUGAUGCAGCCAUGCCGCGUGUGUGAAGAAGGCCUUCGGGUUGUAAAGCACUUUCAGUAGGGAGGAAGGUAGUGUAGUUAACACCUGCAUUAUUUGACGUUACCUACAGAAGAAGCACCGGCUAACUCCGUGCCAGCAGCCGCGGUAAUACGGAGGGUGCGAGCGUUAAUCGGAAUUACUGGGCGUAAAGCGCAUGCAGGCGGCCUGUUAAGUCAGAUGUGAAAGCCCGGGGCUUAACCUCGGAAUUGCAUUUGAAACUGGCAGGCUAGAGUCUUAGUAGAAGGGGGGUAG